rnacentral:rRNA from 1 species
GAAGACCAAGGGUUCCUGUCCAACGUUAAUCGGGGCAGGGUGAGUCGACCCCUAAGGCGAGGCCGAAAGGCGUAGUCGAUGGGAAACGGGUUAAUAUUCCCGUACUUGGUGUUACUGCGAAGGGGGGACGGAGAAGGCUAUGUUGGCCGGGCGACGGUUGUCCCGGUUUAAGCGUGUAGGUGUGUGUUCCAGGUAAAUCCGGUUCACUUUAACACUGAGGCGUGACGACGAGGCACUACGGUGCUGAAGCAACAAAUGCCCUGCUUCCAGGAAAAGCCUCUAAGCAUCAGGUAACAUCAAAUCGUACCCCAAACCGACACAGGUGGUCAGGUAGAGAAUACCAAGGCGCUUGAGAGAACUCGGGUGAAGGAACUAGGCAAAAUGGUGCCGUAACUUCGGGAGAAGGCACGCUGACACGUAGGUGAAGUGAUUUACUCAUGGAGCUGAAGUCAGUCGAAGAUACCAGCUGGCUGCAACUGUUUAUUAAAAACACAGCACUGUGCAAACACGAAAGUGGACGUAUACGGUGUGACGCCUGCCCGGUGCCGGAAGGUUAAUUGAUGGGGUCAGCGCAAGCGAAGCUCCUGAUCGAAGCCCCGGUAAACGGCGGCCGUAACUAUAACGGUCCUAAGGUAGCGAAAUUCCUUGUCGGGUAAGUUCCGACCUGCACGAAUGGCGUAAUGAUGGCCAGGCUGUCUCCACCCGAGACUCAGUGAAAUUGAACUCGCUGUGAAGAUGCAGUGUACCCGCGGCAAGACGGAAAGACCCCGUGAACCUUUACUAUAGCUUGACACUGAACAUUGAGCCUUGAUGUGUAGGAUAGGUGGGAGGCUUUGAAGUGUGGACGCCAGUCUGCAUGGAGCCGACCUUGAAAUACCACCCUUUAAUGUUUGAUGUUCUAACGUGGACCCGUUACCCGGGUUGCGGACAGUGUCUGGUGGGUAGUUUGACUGGGGCGGUCUCCUCCUAAAGAGUAACGGAGGAGCACGAAGGUUGGCUAAUCCUGGUCGGACAUCAGGAGGUUAGUGCAAUGGCAUAAGCCAGCUUGACUGCGAGCGUGACGGCGCGAGCAGGUGCGAAAGCAGGUCAUAGUGAUCCGGUGGUUCUGAAUGGAAGGGCCAUCGCUCAACGGAUAAAAGGUACUCCGGGGAUAACAGGCUGAUACCGCCCAAGAGUUCAUAUCGACGGCGGUGUUUGGCACCUCGAUGUCGGCUCAUCACAUCCUGGGGCUGAAGUAGGUCCCAAGGGUAUGGCUGUUCGCCAUUUAAAGUGGUACGCGAGCUGGGUUUAGAACGUCGUGAGACAGUUCGGUCCCUAUCUGCCGUGGGCGCUGGAGAACUGAGGGGGGCUGCUCCUAGUACGAGAGGACCGGAGUGGACGCAUCACUGGUGUUCGGGUUGUCAUGCCAAUGGCACUGCCCGGUAGCUAAAUGCGGAAGAGAUAAGUGCUGAAAGCAUCUAAGCACGAAACUUGCCCCGA